CCUGGCUCGCAGCGCUGGGCCACGCUCCCUCAUUAACAUCCCUCUCCGGGUGGCGCAGGGGAGCUAGCCAAAGUUCCUCGCAAAGUGGCGAGCGAAGGAUCGCUGAACACCGGCGUCUAUGCUGGGGAAGAGCUGGGCUGAGCUGGGCAGAGCCGGGCUGGAGAGGGGAACAGACGGAAGGGAAGGGCGAUAUUUUUCUCAGGGAUUUGAGCUGGGGUCUGCAUCCUGGUCGUUGCGGUCCAUUUAGCAUCCUCGCCACGCCCUGAGCGCGCUCGCGGUGCACUGGCUGCGCCCUCCCAGGGCUGAUGCUGCGUCCUGCUCCGCUGUUCUGGGACGUCGGGGGCAAAAGUGGAGGAGACGGGAGAGUCCGGGCAGAAAAAGCAGGACGCGCGUCCCAGGUGAGGAAACUGACGGCUUGUGAUUGAAAUGAAACAACCUGUCCCCCGCCUUACUGCGAAUAAAAUCGCCCAGCCCAAAUUUCCCGUCGGUGCCCCUCGCGUAAGUUCCAGACCGGGCGCGCGAGCGUGGUGCUAACUCCAGCCCUGGCUCUGCCGCGCUUGCUAUGUGACCUCCAGUCAGCCGCUUCUCCCAGUCCUAGCCGAGGUCUUAGAGCUCCGGCGCCUGCAGAGUCGCCUACUUGAUAUAGACUAAACAAGACUUUCCGGGGAUGCCUGCGACACCCAUCAGAGGGCAGAAAUCUGUACACCUGCGGAUGCACUUUCAUAGAGGAAGACCAUAUGGCCUUGGCAUGACCAACGACAUCUAAAAACUAAAAUUACUCUGAGCUGGAAGAAUACAGUUGGAGACAUAGCCGGAAAGGCUCUCCCAAUCCGAGGCUGUCCUGGGGCGCGACCCAUACCCCACCCUUGGCCCUUCCCCCACAGUCCUCCAACCUUCUUGCUUGGAGUCUGAUCAGCGAAGGGCCCUCGCUCCUGCUGCGGAAGGAGGCUCCAGGAUGCGAGAAGGGAGCAUCCCGCUGUUUAGAAAUUAGUAUCUCGGGGCGCCUGGGUGGCUCAGUCGUUAAGCGUCUGCCU